rnacentral:rRNA from 1 species
GUGGGGAAUCUUGCGCAAUGGGCGAAAGCCUGACGCAGCAACGCCGCGUGCGGGAUGAAGGCCUUCGGGUUGUAAACCGCUUUCAGCAGGGAAGAAAUUGACGGUACCUGCAGAAGAAGCCCCGGCCAACUACGUGCCAGCAGCCGCGGUAACACGUAGGGGGCGAGCGUUGUCCGGAUUUAUUGGGCGUAAAGAGCUCGUAGGCGGUUCGGUAAGUCGGGUGUGAAACCUCCAGGCUCAACCUGGAGACGCCACCUGAUACUGCUGUGACUAGAGUCCGGUAGGGGAGUGUGGAACUCCUGGUGUAGCGGUGAAAUGCGCAGAUAUCAGGAAGAACACCAGCGGCGAAGGCGGCACUCUGGGCCGGUACUGACGCUGAGGAGCGAAAGCGUGGGUAGCAAACAGGAUUAGAAACCCUAGUAGUCC